rnacentral:rRNA from 1 species
AUUGAACGCUGGCGGCAGGCCUAACACAUGCAAGUCGAGCGGCAGCGGGAAAGUAGCUUGCUACUUUUGCCGGCGAGCGGCGGACGUGUGAGUAAUGCCUGGGAAAUUGCCCAGUCGAGGGGGAUAACAGUUGGAAACGACUGCUAAUACCGCAUACGCCCUACGGGGGAAAGCAGGGGACCUUCGGGCCUUGCGCGAUUGGAUAUGCCCAGGUGGGAUUAGCUAGUUGGUGGGGUAAUGGCUCACCAAGGCGACGAUCCCUAGCUGGUCUGAGAGGAUGAUCAGCCACACUGGAACUGAGACACGGUCCAGACUCCUACGGGAGGCAGCAGUGGGGAAUAUUGCACAAUGGGGAAAACCCUGAUACAGCCAUGCCGCGUGUGUGAAGAAGGCCUUCGGGUUGUAAAGCACUUUCAGCGAGGAGGAAAGGUCAGUAGCUAAUAUCUGCUGGCUGUGACGUUACUCGCAGAAGAAGCACCGGCUAACUCCGUGCCAGCAGCCGCCGUAACAC